UUUGAUUCCGGAGAGGGAGCAUGAGAAAUAGGCUACCACUUCCAAGAAGGCAGCAGGCGCGUAAAUUACCCAAUCUAAAACAAGGGAGGUAGUGACGAUAAAUAACAAUGAUUCAAUGAUACAAAAGUUGAAUUAAUUGGAAUGAGAACAAUAUAAAUCCCUUAUCGAGUAACAAUUUCAGGGCAAGUUCUGGUGCCAGCAGCCGCGGUAAUUCCAGCUGAAAAAAGCGUAUACGAAUAUUGUUGCAGUUAAAACGCUCGUAGUUGGAAUAAAAAAGAGAAAGAGAGAGAGAAAAACAAUGUUUUUCAAUUUUUAUUUCUAUUUUUUUAAUUUUAUAUAUCUCCUAAAAAAAGAUAUAUAGUAUUUACUUUGAAUAAAUUAGAGUGCUUUAAGCAGAUUGAGAUUUAAAUUUUAAAUCUUUUUGAUGUUUGAAUAAUUUAGCAUAGAAUAAAAUAAUAAGAUUUGAAAGAUAAGAUUUGGUAAUUAUGUAGCAAAUAAUGAUAAAUAGGAAUAGUUGGGGGG
rnacentral:rRNA from 1 species